GAUGGGGAAUCUUCUUUUUGCAUAGUGUUAAAAUUAGGAUUUGAGGGUGAACGCCUAUGUUUGGCUGGAACUCAUUGGCAGGCAUUUAGUUGCAGAUAGCUCUAACAGACGUCCAGAGCUGCGAGUGAAUUCCGUAGCCAGCAUUCCUAAGGGGACCGAGAGGAAAAAAGGGGCGAAAGAGGGUCAGGAUGGCGUACGUGCAAGUUGAAAGGUGGAAGAAAAUACAGUCCCG
rnacentral:lncRNA from 1 species